GAUGAAGUUUGGGAUGCAAGCUGGAGAUUUCUUGUCCACCAACAUUUUGUUGUCUGGCAACAACUACGCAAAGGUUGCCCUCUUGUUCAAAUUCAUGAACAUGGGGAUGGUGAACAGGAACACUUUCUUCUCCAUUCAGGACACUUAUUGCAUCAAUACAAUAAAGGACUUCUGGGAAGAGAGAAGGACAGAGGUUCUUUGUGGCCUUCAAGGGAAAGAUGUUAUUGUCCUUGAUGGCAGAAAUGACUCUCCUGGUCACUGUGCACAAUACUGCAGCUACACCACCAUGGAGAAUGACACCAAGGAGAUCAUUCAUGUUGCCACCAUAGACAAGUGGCAAACAUCAUGGAAGUCUGUCGUCUUGGAGAAGGAGUUUCAUCCAGACUGGACAAGCUUACAUCAGAAAUAAAGCUAGUGGAGAUCUGCACAGAUGCUCAUGCCCAGAUUGGUGCCCUUAUGAACCCAGACAAAGGCAAAUACAAGGCCCUUGGAAUUCAUGACAGUCUGGACAUAUGGCAUGGUGCGAAGAAAAAU